AACAAACGCUGGCGGCGUGCCUAAUACAUGCAAGUCGAACGGGGAAAGCUUUCGGGUGAGUACUAGUGGCGCACGGGUGAGUAACGCGUGGAUAAUCUGCCUUAGAGUGGGGGAUAACUAGUCGAAAGAUUAGCUAAUACCGCAUAAGACCACAAGAACUGCGGUUCAAGAGGUCAAAGGUUUUUCGCUCUAAGAUGAGUCCGCGUAAGAUUAGCUAGUUGGUGAGGUAACGGCUCACCAAGGCAACGAUCUUUAACUGGUCUGAGAGGAUGAUCAGUCACACUGGAACUGAGACACUGUCCAGACUCCUACGGGAGGAAGCAGUAGGGAAUAUUGCACAAUGGAGGAAACUCUGAUGCAGCGACGCCGCGUGAGGGAUGGAGGCCUUCGGGUCGUAAAGCUCUGUCGCAGGGGAAUAACACAAUGAAUGUACCCUGUAAGAAAGGAUCGGCUAACUUCGUGCCAGCAGCCGCAGUAAUAC
rnacentral:rRNA from 1 species